GGGCAUUCUUUCAUCCAUCUGAUCCAGACGCAGGUUUCCUCUCAUGGAGUUAGGAGCUAUUGACAAGCCAAAAAAGAUGAAGCCAAAACUAAGAAGACGUUCUUCUGAAUCUGAUGUAUCUGAUAGAUCACUAUCGCCAUCUUCAGAUAAAGAAAACGAGAUGUUCCGUACUAAUUUAUUAGCGGUCGCCUUCUGAUGGUCAAG